GGAGGGCGGGGGCGCGCCGGCCGCGAAGGGAGCGAUGGAUCUUUCGGGGGCGGCCUGCCCGCCGCCUCCCCUCGGGGCCGGCUCCUCCCGGGGGCGGGCUGGCCGAGCGGCGCCGCCCCCCGUGCCGCCCGCGGGGCCCGGCCUCACCUGCCUGUCUUUUGGGCGCUGCAGGGCACGAUGGGGUUCGUCUUCUCCAAGUCCGUGAACGACAGCCUGAAAGCUCAGCAGGAGUUCAUGCUCAUGAACUCACGGCUCCAGCUGGAAAGGCAACUACUGAUGCAGAACCAGAUGAGAGAGAGACAAACAGCCAUGCAGAUUGCUUGGACAAGGGAAUUUCUCAAAUAUUUUGGGACAUUUUUUGGACUUGCUGCUGUAGGCUUAACAGCUGGAGCAAUAAAGAAGAAGAACCCAGGAGUUUUACUGCCAAUAGUUCCCUUAAGCUUUAUCUUUGCUUAUCAAUAUGAUAUGGGUUAUGGGACACUGUUGCAAAGGAUAAAAGGAAGAUCAUUUCUCUUUUCCAAAAGAAAUGUGGUAGAUCUACUAUGAAAGCAUUUAGUGUGGUAUCACAUGAAGAUUAAGUUAGCAUGAAGGACAUGGAAAUUAGUAGACAGGUGAAGCAGAGAACAUAUUGGACACACAGAGCACUUUGCUAGAAUUGCCGAAAGGACCACUCACUUACGAAGACCUGGAGAAAAUCAGAAGAUCUCGGAGCAAGUUCUUCGUAGAAAAAUAGGAGGAUGGCAUUGAAAAUAUCUGAAAUGUGAUUGUAAUACUGGUUUGGGGCAUAAAUUAAUCACUAAAAAAAUUAGAAAAUUUUGGGCUUUUAUAGAAUCAAAAUAAAAUUCUUUCGUUUUAAAUCAGUACUUUCUAAACCAAUUAUUUUAAUAUUGUAUGUGUCUCUUGAAAAUAUCCAUUGCUACUGUAUUUUUCUUGUUUAGAAUGAAAUAUUGAAUUUCCACUGUCUAUUUAGAGUCUGAAAUAACUUUCACCUGUAUUAAAAGUGUCUGGUACUGACCAAACUCAUUAUAAUGAAAAAAAUAAGUUGAUUAGUAGUUACAAAUUUGUAUAAAUAUGUUUAUAAUUUUCAAAUAUAUUUAAGGAUGCGUAGCUCAAUUUGAAGUCAGGCAUAGACAGUCAACUUCUUUGAAAAGUAAGACACUUUUAUUUGCUGUUCUUUAGGCAGUAAACUCACCAUCUCCACUUAAAAUUCUGGAAUAAACAACUUUUAUCAGAAGUAGGUUCAGAAGUAAACACGUCACUUACUAACUGUGUUUUACUCCUAGGAAAAACUAUAUUAAAGUAUGAGCAGAGAUAAUUUCUCAAAAAGAGGAAGCAAAUUAUGUAGCUAUUUCCUGAAUCUUUUUAAUGCUUGUUUGACAUACAGAAACUCAGGAUAAUUUGUUUACAUGAAACCAGAGUUUCACUACUAAGAUGAAUAUUAACUUAGACUAACAGCAAGCAAAAUUAUUAAUCUAUGUUUUUGUAAUGGAUAGAUCCAAGAGGCCUUACAAGUACUGAAAAACUGAGGGAUUUUUUUGCAUGCCUUUACUCUUGUAUGCUAUAUACUGAGAAUAUAAUUUUAGUAUAUUUUAGUGUUCUGCUGUUACACUUUGCAAAAAAAACCGCAUCUUUCUGCAUUGGAAAUCUUCUUUAGAAACAGAUUAUUUUGCAUUUUGUGUGGUAACUCUUCUAGCAUUAGUCUAAUUAUGGAAAGAAAAACAAAUGCUCAAAAAGCAUCCAAUAAUGAAUUAAGCCUAAGUCUGUGUUGACAAUUUGUUGAAUUAAAAAUUAAAUUCCAGCCAGAGGUAAUGCCCUGAGUCUGUUUUUAAAGACUACUUGACUGAAAUUAGAAUAUUGUUACAGUAAAAUGAGUGAAUAUAUAAUAAUAGCAUCUCAAUUUAGAAGAAAUGAAUAGCACUGUUCCCAUAGCUGUGUAAGACUGAUUUCUGAAUGUGCAUUCACUUCUGGAUUCAAUAAUUUCUGUAAUUGUUUCAGUCAUCUGUGUGUUUACAAUGCAUACUAUCUGUAACAAAUUUCGAAUCUUAUGCAUUUUAGUGUGCAGUGUGAUAAAAUGGGUUUUAAUAGCUUGUUGGGUUAUAACAGCUUGGUCUGCACUUUGUCUGUUCAGGAUUUAAGGCAGUGAUUUUAAUUGCUUGGAAGGCAUGCCUCAACUCAGCCUGUGGUGCUACACAUGUUCUGUAAGCUCACAAAAUGCAUCCCAAGAACACCUUGUGGUUUUGGCCUGUCCUAUAACGUAAACCCUCAUCACUUGAUGCUGUAUUAUGUACUGCUCUUAGGACGUAUGUAUCCUUGCUUGUUUUACUUUGAGUAACAGAUCAUCUACUACCUUCCCUCCAGUUACUGAAGUCCACCUUGCUUUAAUUUUGAAGAAGCUAUAACAACCUUUUACGUGUUAAUCUCUGUCAUCUUCCAAGAAAGAAAAUCAAUUAAACCAGCUUGUUUUGGUAUUUUUAUUUAUCCAUUUGUGCCUUUUAAAAAGACAUUUUUACAAGAGAGCAGUUUUAACAGUCCAUUCAGUAGUUUUAUUUACAAAUCCUAGAAAAUUAGGAAAUACCCUAAUCCUAUCCACUGUGAAUUAGGAAUUAGUAUUUGUGUGUUUGCGAUAGAUUGCUGGCUAUGAUGUUGAAUCAAAAGGUGGUGUUAAACGAAGUAAGCAGGCUAAGCAAAAUAAUGAACCAGAUUGCAGUUUUAGGAGAUAAUAGGAUAGCUAUUUAUUACUCCAUCCUGGCUGUUCUUUUUUUCUCCCAAAUGUUAAACUUACAUCAGUAAUGUUAAUCCAUUGCAAGACUCCACACUAAAAAGUGAUAGAAAUGGAGCAAGUUUAACUCAGUGUUACACAGCAAGUAUCAGUGAAAGUUACCCAAUUUAUAAGAGAAAAGCACCAGGCUCUAAGCAGGACAGUAUAAUGCUGAAGCUAGAAGUAGAGUUACAUGGACUAUAUAAUGUGCCAAAGAUUGUCAAGAAGUUAAGGGUUAGUCACUUUUACUGCAUUUGUUUUGAACUGUUAGCUUAACUUUUUUCUUGAUGAAUAUGUGCUUUUCUUUUGAAUAUGCUAAUUCUUUGAAACAGAGUUAUUUAUUCUACUGCCAGUGUAUUAAUCAAAAUGUAUGCACGUCCCAAGUCCAGUCUAUCUGUCACAUAGAUAUCCAGCCACAGAGUGGCUGAAUGGUAUUAUUUCUUUCAGAAAACAAUAAAAGAAAGCAAGAAAGGUUACUUUUGACAGUGUCUAAUAUAGCCCAAGUUGCCUGUGAUCAUCAUACCAGUUGUACUCACAGCUAUAAAUAAAUAGAUAAAACGGCAAAAA